rnacentral:tRNA from 1 species
ACGCUGGUGGCUCAGUGGUAGAGUUCUUGUCUUCUGUCUGGGAGACCUGGAUUCGAUUCCCAGCCAACGCA